UAAAGAGUUUUAUAGUCUGUUGUUCAGCUAAGAGCCCCCCUUCCCAACUUGCAACAAAUUGUUGUUCCCAUCUCAUUCCUUUCCCUCUUCCAUGUGUCGUCAUUCUGCUCCUGAGUGUCUCGCUUGUGGGCGUGCUGGCAGGAUAUGGCAGCAUCUUCGGUUUUGUGUCAAGAAUUCUGCAUACAGUAGCACGUUAGUUUGAAAGUGUGGUUAUUCACAGGCAAAUUGUUAUAUGCUAUGGAGGUACAUUUUGUGUCUUUUUGUCAAGAGCAAAACCGACACAAAGGAAGUCAAAGCGCACACCUACGAAGAUAUCAUCUCAGAAAGCGAGCUGAUCAAGGGGACGAACAUGUAGAUAUUGCCAGAUGUUCACUGUCCGAGGAACAGGCCGAGGAAGCUUUAUUGCUGGCAAAAGUGGCCAUAAUUAAUUAAACUGUUCUGUGUUAUUUUCUCCAUCUCUAUCUGUCUUGUUGUACAUGGAACCUGCCUCACAUGCAUUAAUUUAAAAAACCUUAAGAUGUCAGCUGCUAAUUUUCAGAUUUACACCACAUAAACACAGCCAUUUUCACUGGACUAUCUGUUGCUCUGUUGCUGCCAAGUCAUGAUUUCCAUUGUGGUGAGACACAUAGCCCUCUAUAUUUAAAUGUUUCAGGUACACUCCGAUAAGAGUCUGCGUCACAUACAGUAUCUUCUAUUGACAUUAUCUUCUAUUGUUUGUCCUCAUGUGUCUGUUUUUCAGCAUAAAGUACUCUGUAGCCACUAACGUGGACACCAGGUGAGACCACACACACACACAAUAAGUCUCUCUUCUUCACUUCAUCCCUCUCCCCCUUCUCCCUAAAACCUCUAGGUUAUAUCAGCUGUUUUGGUGAACCUCUCCCGCAUCGGAACUGGCUGACACUGAGGGCACAGCAUGAUCAUAUGUGAGAUGUCACUUGGUCGGGUCAACAGGAACUAUUAUUAAAGAAAUGCUUUACAUUGAAAUCCAGACAGAGAUGUAGUAGUCCCAGAGUUAAUGAUCCAAGGUAUGUUUGGAUGUGAGAGAGGAAAGCCAGCCCUGUCAUCGCCACCUCACCCGCUCUUAUGAUAACCAUCGGGCCAAAAGGGGGCCCAAGGGUGGUUAGGAGACACCACAAUUGUGAUGAACUGAGAGAAUAUUUGGGUAGCACUGUAAUUCAUGAAUCAUAUGCUGUCUGCCACAGUUCUUACCUCCUUUCCCCUUCUGUCUUCUACACCUCUCUCCCCACCUCAGAGCAGGAGUGGUAAACACUGUUGAAGUGUAUAAUUGUAAUACAUACUUGCAGAUAUGCAAGCAGACAGUAUUUAAACCACAUACAAUAUGCCCUCAAGUUUAACUGAAGUAUUAUCAGAAACCUGUUUCUCAGCUUCUCAUUUAGUUGAAACCGGUCAAACUGAAGACCUUUGGACAUUUUGCACAGGAACAUUUUGCACAGGAACAAUCUUCCUGCUGUUUUGGAGUUGCAUUUAUUCGGUCCGUAAACUAAAUACAACUUCAUCAGUGUGAACUAGAAUACUAAUGCAUUAAUUCUAUUGAUGUAAGACAUCAUUAUGGGGAGCACUACUUUAUUUAGUCUUCUGGAGCAACAAGUUAUGACAGAAGAGAACCUGCAUGUAUCUAACUACAGUUGACAAAUAAAUGGCCUACCAAAUGUCAGAAAUUAUAAGCAGAAAUGUAUCUAAAUUAGGGAUAAAAGUAGCCUAAGCCAGUAGAGUACAAGGUCCGGUACAGAGCAUCGGUGAAAUAAAUUAUUAUGGGGGAUAGAACUGCUCAGCUAGCCUACAUUCUGAAGUGAUUUGUUUGACAAUUAGAUGAAAACAUCAACACCCAUGAUUUCCGAAACUAAGCCUACUUAGACCGUGAAAAACAACUGUAAACGGGAUAAGAUGUUUACAUGCCACAGUAUCCUGUCUAAAAAUCAGCAUAUCCCAGGCAUUUAAUCCAGGUUUCUCAUAACCGGGAUUCAAGUUUUUUUGGGUUAUUGUAAACGGGAUAUGAUGUUUAUAUGUGUCAAAACAGAAUACUUGAAUAUCCCGAAUAACAAUGGGAUAUUGGAGUGCAUGUAAACGUGGUCAGUGAUAUGCAUGGGCAUAUUUUAGGGAGGUUGAGAUGCAGCUCUUCCUCAGAGUAGAAUCAACUGGACUUGUACUGUUAGUGUCGUGACCCCAUACACUUGAUUGCAAUCCACAAUCCGCCACACCAUAUGCAUGAAUGCCUCCGGCAGUGUAUGUCUGUCUCAAACAUGUAUAUAGCGAGAACACAUCUGACUUCAUGUACAGUAUCAGCACAGGUUUUUUAAAUUACUUUUUUUUUUGCACUUGUAAUAAAAAGGGCAACCUUCAUAAAAAAUAUAUAUAAUUUUUAAAAAAGCAUUUUGUUUUCUUUGUUUUCAACGAGAAAUACCAGGAUGUAAUGCAGAGAUGGAGAAAUUAAGCGAUGUCGCCGUGAUAUUUUAACAACCAUCUAAUUUUGCCAUUGAUCUUAAAUAUUCUAUGGAAUAUUAAUUGUGUAGCUCCACUGUGUAACCCACAGUAUAUCUUAGUGAAACGAGCAAUGUUAACUUUGCUGCACAUUAUGCACAUGACAAAAGGCUACAUACAACCACAUGACAUGCUAAUAAUAUCCAAAAUAGCUCAUUAUAAAACACAGAAAAACAAUUGGGACCUUAUUUGGGGAUGAACAUCUGUUGAAACAACACAGGAAACCAUUUCAGGUUGUUUAUUAGUAAAGGAGUCGUUCACGUUUUCUGGUACAUCUUUUACAUAUGACUCAACACUAUACACGCCAGCUACGACAGCAACUGAAAUG